CAGUGCGAGGCCCGCAGGGAGGCAGGGAGGCGGGUUGCGCCAGCACGAGGGGCCCAGGCGCAGCGCGGGCUCGGAGGAAGCCACCCCGGGAUCCGAGCUCCAGGGCCCGUCCUGAAAGCGCUCCCGCAGCCGCGGGCAGGCGGCCGGGCCGUAAGCAGCGCGCACGCGGGGCUGCCGCGGAGAGCGCCUCUGAUGGCGGGCAUCUCGGCCCUGGAACCAUGUCGUGUCUGGAUUUCGCUGGCACGGGAAGGCACCGUUGGCCCGGCAGGUGGAGGAUCGUCCUUCAGGAUCCAUCAGCAUCAGACUGCUGCUUUACAGACUGAGUUUUCAGACAUAGAGAGAGAGAGAGGCAGAGACACAGGCAGAGGGAGAAG